UGCAAAUGAGCAGGUGUGGCCAUGAGCCAAUAAAACUUUAUUUGUAGGCUCAGACGGUGGCAGCCAAGGUGUCCCGACUCCUGCUGUGCACCGAGCUCUGCGGGCUGUGGCCACCAGCGUGUGCUCCAAAGAUCACUGUGACAGUCUGGUGGAGGCCUGUGCCCGUCAUCUCUACUGCUGGAAACACUUGUGCCUCACCCUCUCCUUGGGUCCUGCACCUCCCAUGACAUUUACAAAGCAGAUUAAAAAAAAAUUAACACGGC
rnacentral:lncRNA from 1 species